AUACGGAGGGUGCGAGCGUUAAUCGGAAUUACUGGGCGUAAAGAGUACGUAGGUGGUUUAGUAAGUCGGAUGUGAAAGCCCAGGGCUCAACCUUGGAAUUGCAUUCGAUACUGCUUAACUAGAGUAUGGUAGAGGGAAGUGGAAUUUCCGGUGUAGCGGUGAAAUGCGUAGAUAUCGGAAGGAACACCAGUGGCGAAGGCGACUUCCUGGGCCAAUACUGACGCUGAGGUGCGAAAGCGUGGGGAGCAAACGGGAUUAGAAACCCCUGUAGUCC
rnacentral:rRNA from 1 species